UCCAGUUCCUUAGAUAGUCUUGCUGUCAUC
rnacentral:piRNA from 1 species